GGAAAAACAUGGAAGCAAGACCAGAAAGUAAGGCUACAGCAUGUUGACACCGGUGGUUACCUCCAUAGCCACACCAAGAAAUUCACCCAGUUAGCUGGCGGGCAGCAAGAGGUUUGUGGAGUCCGGGAUAAGCGUCCUGAUAGCCUCUGGUUAGCAGCUGAGGGGGUAUACCUUCCAGUCACUGGAAGCAAAUGAGUGUCAAUUAGUUUGGCCUACAAGGUUUUCUUCAACUCGCUAAUGAUGCCGGAAGCUACUAAGUUUU
rnacentral:misc_RNA from 1 species